GCAAAAUGCAACUCGUGCAGCACCGUUACCAAAAAAAGCCCUAGAAGCAAAAGGGUAACUAGCAGCAACAGAAGCAGCAGCAGCUGUGGUAGCCAACUUGGCUGAGAAAAUACCAUAAGAAUGAAGGGUUUGACCAUUAAAGCUUGGAUUUUUCUUCAGUAGAUCCAAUAAUAUAGCUAUUCCCGCCAUUGAAGGGGUUAUUCAGAAACUUGUAUUCUAUUCAAUAAAUCAAGAAAGCCUAUUCUUUUUUUUAGAGUAAUAUUGAAGAUUCAACACCAUAACCAAACUUCUUGAUUUUGCACAACACCAUAUAUGAGCUAAAAUCUGUAGUCUUUUUAGGUUUACAGCAGAAAAUAGAUUA
rnacentral:misc_RNA from 1 species